UACGUAGGGGGCAAGCGUUGUCCGGAAUCAUUGGGCGUAAAGAGCGUGUAGGCGGCCCGAUAAGUCCGCCGUGAAAGUCCAGGGCUCAACCCUGGAAUGCCGGUGGAAACUGUCGGGCUAGAGUCCGGGAAGGGGCGAGUGGAAUUCCUGGUGUAGCGGUGAAAUGCGUAGAUAUCCGGAGGAACACCGGUGGCGAAGGCGGCUUCCUGGACCGACACUGGACGCUGAGGCGGCGAAAGCCUAGGGGAGCAAACGGG
rnacentral:rRNA from 1 species